rnacentral:rRNA from 1 species
UGGGGAAUAUUGCACAAUGGGCGCAAGCCUGAUGCAGCCAUGCCGCGUGUGUGAAGAAGGCCUUCGGGUUGUAAAGCACUUUCAGCGGGGAGGAAGGCGUUAAGGUUAAUAACCUUGGCGAUUGACGUUACCCGCAGAAGAAGCACCGGCUAACUUCGUGCCAGCAGCCGCGGUAAUACGGAGGGUGCAAGCGUUAAUCGGAAUUACUGGGCGUAAAGCGCACGCAGGCGGUCUGUCAAGUCGGAUGUGAAAUCCCCGGGCUCAACCUGGGAACUGCAUUCGAAACUGGCAGGCUAGAGUCUUGUAGAGGGGGGUAGAAUUCCAGGUGUAGCGGUGAAAUGCGUAGAGAUCUGGAGGAAUACCGGUGGCGAAGGCGGCCCCCUGGACAAAGACUGACGCUCAGGUGCGAAAGCGUGGGGAGCAAACAGG